rnacentral:rRNA from 1 species
UUGGGCGAGCGCCCUUGUAUCAGGCGGUUUGGGGCCUCCGGGCCUUAGGAUGCGGCGAGACGACCCGGUUCGGGGGACGCCAGCCUGCUCAGGCCGGUCAACCCCGAGGCGAGGUGCAGUUGCGUGCACCCGUCGUAACGCGCGGUAGGGCGUCGGUCUCCACACGGAGGCUUAAGGUACGUGCUAAACCCUCAGUAAUGAGGCCUGCAGGAAAAGCCCUGAUACGGCGAGGCCUGCGGGGGCCGCUUCGAGCGGUCGGCGUAAAUUGCUGUUAUGCCCUUAGAUGUUCUGGGCCGCACGCGCGCUACACUGACAGAGCCAACGAGUUUACUACCUUGGCCGGAAGGUCUGGGUAAUCUUGUUAAACUCUGUCGUGCUGGGGAUAGAGCAUUGCAAUUAUUGCUCUUCAACGAGGAAUGCCUAGUAAGCGCAUGUCAUCAGCAUGCGUUGAUUACGUCCCUGCCCUUUGU